UUUACCCGAUAAGAAAAUUGAGUAAUCCGCUCCAAACCGUUAAGUCGUUAAUUAUAUAAUCACAAUUCUUUCACUAUCCAUUACCCCAAUAAUUCGACACCAUUAAGCCAAUAAGUCAUCCAUUCGGUUCGGUUUUGAACAACUCUAAUGGUGCUCUUCCUCCUUUCUCAUAUUAGAAGGUUAUUACAACAACAAAACUACCAAGUUCCAAAAAUGCUGGGAUCGUAUUAUACUCCAAGGAUUCAUCAUGAAAUUGACUAGUUUUACAUUGGCUAUCUGCCCACAACUUCUUCAUCUAGGCUUAAGACCGACAAUGUAAGCAAACUCAGGUUAUCGUAUGUCAUACACAUGGUACGUGAGAAUCACAGUUUCCAUGUGCUUACUGUAUUCACAAUCUAUGCACAAACAAACUCAUCAGCAAGUCGAGUAUACUUCACAUACAAAUACUAUAAUAAUGUGCUAUAGCUUGUUUGAGUCUAAUGAAUGCCUUCAUAAUCAAUGUGCUAUAGUCAUUUUCGUUUAGCUUCUGCGCACUGACAGUGUAAAAAGUUUUACGUCGUAAAGUUAAGAUGACCUACAUCAAUAUGUAGCUCUCGAUAAUAAGGCUGACGAAAAGCAAAAACCUGCUAUAACCAGCUAAAGUGAACUGAUAGUGUAAAAAUCAAUUAUAUUAUCAGUCGAUAUAAGUUAAAUCCUAAUCAAAAUCAACGCGGUCUGCAGAAAAUUACCAUGCAAAUUA
rnacentral:lncRNA from 1 species